rnacentral:rRNA from 1 species
AUUGAACGCUGGCGGCAUGCUUUACACAUGCAAGUCGAACGGCAGCGGGGGCUUCGGCCCGCCGGCGAGUGGCGAACGGGUGAGUAAUGCAUCGGAACGUGCCCAGUCGUGGGGGAUAACACAUCGAAAGAUGUGCUAAUACCGCAUACGUCCUGAGGGAGAAAGCGGGGGAUCUUCGGACCUCGCGCGAUUGGAGCGGCCGAUGUCGGAUUAGCUAGUUGGUGGGGUAAAAGCCCACCAAGGCGACGAUCCGUAGCGGGUCUGAGAGGAUGAUCCGCCACACUGGGACUGAGACACGGCCCAGACUCCUACGGGAGGCAGCAGUGGGGAAUAUUGCACAAUGGGCGAAAGCCUGAUGCAGCAACGCCGCGUGAGUGAUGAAGGCC